GACGAACGCUGGCGGUGUGCUUCACACAUGCAAGUCGAACGAGGUAGCAAUACCUAGUGGCGGACGGGUGAGUAACGCGUGGGAAUCUGCCUUUAGAUGGGGGAUAACGGAUCGAAAGAUUCGCUAAUACCGCAUAUGACGAAAGUUGAAAGGAGUAAUCCGUCUAAAGAUGAGCCCGCGUCCGAUUAGCUAGUUGGUAGGGUAAAAGCCUACCAAGGCGACGAUCGGUAGCUGGUCUGAGAGGAUGAUCAGCCACAAUGGGACUGAGACACGGCCCAUACUCCUACGGGAGGCAGCAGUGGGGAAUUUUACGCAAUGGGGGAAACCCUGACGUAGCGACACCGCGUGAGCGAAGAAGCCCCUUGGGGUGUAAAGCUCUGUCAGCUGGAACGAAAAAAUAGACGGUACCAGCAGAGGAAGCAUCGGCUAACUACGUG
rnacentral:rRNA from 1 species